rnacentral:rRNA from 1 species
UAUUAUGUAACAUGUAAAAUAUUCACCUGAGUAGUAGUAGUUAUGAUCUUGAAACUCAAAGAAUUUGGCGGUAUUUUAGUCCUUUCAGAGGAAUCUGCCCUGUAAUCGAUAGUACACGUUUUGUUAUGCUUUAUUUAUUAGCUUGUAUACCGCCGUCAUAAGAUUGUUCUAUAGAGGAUUGAAAUUUUCUUUGUUUUUUAUUAAAAAAUAUGUCAGGUCAAGGUGCAGUUCAUAUUAAAGAAGUGGUGGAUUACAAUAAUUUUAAUUAAAUGGAUGAGGUAGUAAGUUUUUCUUUGAAGGUGGAUUUGAUUGUAAAUUUAUUUUAGAUAUUAAUUUGAUUAUGGCUCUAGAGUGUGUACACAUCGCCCGUCGCUCUCGUUUUAUAUGAG